AUCAGAUGAAAAUCUACUACAUGGAUAACCGUGGUAAUUCUAUGGCUAAUACAUGCGCAAAUAUCCUUUUUCGCAAGAAAGAGGAUAGUGUUUAUUAGAUACAGAACCAAUACACCAUCUGUUAACAGCAGGUGGUGUAAAAAAGGUGAUUCAUAGUAACCGAACGGAUCGCAUUAUGGUCAUUUUAUAUGGCUGGCGAUAGAUCAUUCAAGUUUCUGACCUAUCAGCUUUCGACGGUAGUGUAUUGGACUACCGUGGCAGUGACGGGUAACGGGGAAUUAGGGUU
rnacentral:rRNA from 1 species